UACAGAGGGUGCAAGCGUUAAUCGGAAUUACUGGGCGUAAAGGGCGCGUAGGCGGCCAGGUCAGUCGGAUGUGAAAUCCCCGGGCUCAACCUGGGAAUUGCAUUCGAUACUGCCUGACUAGAGUGUGGAAGAGGGAAGCGGAAUUUCCGGUGUAGCGGUGAAAUGCGUAGAUAUCGGAAGGAACACCAGUGGCGAAGGCGGCUUCCUGGUCCAACACUGACGCUGAGGCGCGAAAGCGUGGGGAGCGAACAGGAUUAGAAACCCGGAGUCC
rnacentral:rRNA from 1 species